rnacentral:rRNA from 1 species
GACAGAGGUGCCAAGCGUUAGGCGGAAUCACUGGGCUUAAAGCGUGUGUAGGCGGAUUGGUAAGUACCUUGUGAAAUCCCACGGCUCAACCGUGGAACUGCUCGGUAUACUGCUUAUCUUGAGCCACUUAGGGGCUGUCGGAACAAACGGUGGAGCGGUGAAAUGCGUAGAUAUCGUAAGGAAGACCAGUGGCGAAGGCGGGUCUCUGGACAGUUCCUGACGCUGAGGCACGAAGGUCAGGGGAGCAAACGGG